AAAUGCUUUCUGCUUAACACGUCAAGUCUGGGAGCGUGUGCUGAUGCUGCGCUUUACCGCAUCCACAGCACCACAGAACCACCUUGGGUCCUGGAUGGCAAUCACUCAGGCAGACAACUGGUCCAUUCCCAACAUCUGUAAAAUAACCAUUUAUUUGCCGCAGCCAGAUGAAACGCGGGCGUCCCCAUGGUCUUCUCCAACUACCGGGUUCCUCAACAUUCAGGUACCUGCGUGCUGGAU